GAAAAUUAUAUAACAUCCUUUAUAAAUCGACGAAAAUCCGAUCAAUGCAUGUGAUUACAGAAACGUGAUCUAGUUGAUCAUUUAGAAACAUGUCAUAAUUAUGAAUAACGCACACCAUUAAUUUUAUUUUCUACAGAAAUAUAAAACAAUCCAAAGAAAUAAGAGGAUUAUCAAUAUCCUCCAUGGGAACGUCGGUAUCAGUGUAAGCUAGAGCUUCUUCUACUGUAACUCCAUCUAUUUUAGAACUUGCACGGUGAAUGCUAGUCUCUUUAUUCGUCAAGCAAGAAUGAAGAUGAUGACUUUUCAUAUAUGGACUCAUUGGCCUCAAAUUCUCCUUUCUCAGAGAAGAAGAAACAGAGCUAUAUGCUGCAUUUACCGUGGAAUCAACCAUGAGCUUUGAAAAACUUUCCUUUGGGGUGCCUGUCAAAAUUUUUCCGACACUAUCUCCAUUAAACCGCCUGCUAGGAGAUGGUGACCUCAGAGUUCUAAUGGGCGGAUAAUAUGAAGAAUUAAUUCUCUCGGGUUCUCUGCGAAAGCUCUUCUGUCU
rnacentral:misc_RNA from 1 species